rnacentral:rRNA from 1 species
UACGUAGGGGGCAAGCGUUGUCCGGAAUCAUUGGGCGUAAAGAGCGUGUAGGCGGCCAGAUAAGUCCGCUGUGAAAUCUCGAGGCUCAACUUCGAGCUGUCGGUGGAAACUAUCUGGCUAGAGUCCGGAAGAGGAGAAUGGAAUUCCUGGUGUAGCGGUGAAAUGCGCAGAUAUCAGGAGGAACACCAAUGGCGAAGGCAGCUCGCUGGAACGGUACUGGCGCUGAGGCGCGAAAGCGUGGGGAGCAAACAGG